AUCCAGAUGACGAGUCCCGAAUAGGACGAAAUGCAUGUUGCCCUGGAU
rnacentral:hammerhead_ribozyme from 1 species